rnacentral:rRNA from 1 species
GAGCGAACGCUGGCGGCAGGCUUAACACAUGCAAGUCGAGCGGGCGUAGCAAUACGUCAGCGGCAGACGGGUGAGUAACGCGUGGGAACGUACCCUUUUGGUUCGGAACAACCCAGGGGAAACUUAGGGCUAAUACCGGGAUAAGCCCUUACGGGGAAAGAUUUAUCGCCGAAAGAUCGGCCCGCGUCUGAUUAGCUAGUUGGUGAGGUAACGGCUCACCAAGGCGACGAUCAGUAGCUGGUCUGAGAGGAUGAUCAGCCACAUUGGGACUGAGACACGGCCCAGACUCCUACGGGAGGCAGCAGUGGGGAAUUUUGGACAAUGGGGGCAACCCUGAUCCAGCCAUGCCGCGUGCGGGAAGAAGGCCU